UACGAGUGGUGCAAGCGUUAUUCGGAAUAAUUGGGCGUAAAGGGUGUGUAGACGGUAUGCUAAGUCAAUUGUUAAAUUCUCCGGCCUAACCGGAGGCAAGCAGUAGAAACUGGCGUUCUAGAGGGUGGGAGAGAGAAGCGGAAUUCUCGGAGUAGCGGUAAAAUGCGUAGAUCUCGAGAGGAACACCAAUGGCGAAGGCAGCUUCUUGGCCCAUUUCUGACGUUGAGACACGAAAGCGUGGGGAGCAAACAGG
rnacentral:rRNA from 1 species